rnacentral:rRNA from 1 species
UACGUAGGGUCCGAGCGUUGUCCGGAAUUAUUGGGCGUAAAGAGCUCGUAGGCGGUUUGUCGCGUCUGCUGUGAAAUCCCGAGGCUCAACCUCGGGUCUGCAGUGGGUACGGGCAGACUGGAGUGCGGUAGGGGAGAAUGGAAUUCCUGGUGUAGCGGUGGAAUGCGCAGAUAUCAGGAGGAACACCGAUGGCGAAGGCAGUUCUCUGGGCCGUAACUGACGCUGAGGAGCGAAAGCGUGGGAGCGAACAGG